rnacentral:rRNA from 1 species
AGAGUUUGAUCCUGGCUCAGGACGAACGCUGGCGGCGUGCUUAACACAUGCAAGUCGAACGGAAAGGCCCUUCGGGGUACUCGAGUGGCGAACGGGUGAGUAACACGUGGGUGAUCUGCCCUGCACUUUGGGAUAAGCCUGGGAAACUGGGUCUAAUACCGAAUAUGACCACGCUCUUCAUGGGGUGUGGUGGAAAGCUUUUGCGGUGUGGGAUGGGCCCGCGGCCUAUCAGCUUGUUGGUGGGGUAAUGGCCUACCAAGGCGACGACGGGUAGCCGGCCUGAGAGGGUGACCGGCCACACUGGGACUGAGAUACGGCCCAGACUCCUACGGGAGGCAGCAGUGGGGAAUAUUGCACAAUGGGCGCAAGCCUGAUGCAGCGACGCCGCGUGAGGGAUGACGGCCUUCGGGUUGUAAACCUCUUUCACCAGGGACGAAGCGCAAGUGACGGUACCUGGAGAAGAAGCACCGGCCAACUACGUGCCAGCAGCCGCGGUAAUACGUAGGGUGCGAGCGUUGUCCGGAAUUACUGGGCGUAAAGAGCUCGUAGGUGGUUUGUCGCGUUGUUCGUGAAAACUCACAGCUUAACUGUGGGCGUGCGGGCGAUACGGGCAGACUAGAGUACCGCAGGGGAGACUGGAAUUCCUGGUGUAGCGGUGGAAUGCGCAGAUAUCAGGAGGAACACCGGUGGCGAAGGCGGGUCUCUGGGCAGUAACUGACGCUGAGGAGCGAAAGCGUGGGGAGCGAACAGGAUUAGAUACCCUGGUAGUCCAA